CUAGCAUUCAUUUUUGAGUUGAUGUUAAUCUAAACAGAAAACCAAACGAUUGUAGGCAAAAAUAAUACAUAUGGUCUUGCUUUUUGCAGUGUAUUUAUGGUGUUAAAUUACCUAGUACUCUUGUCAUUGUUCACUUUAUUACCAUACCUGGAAGUCUUUUCUACACAAGAAAUAUCAGAGAAAAAACUAUGUGUAUGUAAUUUUGCCUGUGCAAGAACUCAGUAGAUCUGUAUUUACAAUUAAGAUUCCACUUACAAUCUUCUAAGAUAAUAUCAUCGGAAUUUACAUGAGCUAUAAGGUUCAUUAAUUUGGGGCUUCAUUGUGGAAAAACGAACUGUCGGGAAUAAGAUCUGUGCUACCUAAUGAAAUGAGAAAAAAGGUAUCAAUACAUUUGAAAUAUCAAAAUAUAUGAAGUAUCUAAGGGAAUUCUCUGUUUUUAAGGCUUUCUGGAAGAAUAUCUACUUUGUUUAUGCACCAGUAUCAUCAGCAGGAUUGGCAUGGCCUUGGGGUGUUGACCAAUGUCUUGGCUCAUCGAGAUUGAUAGAUAUAAUCCAAAGAGUCUACGUUCUGGCCAUUAGCUGUCCCUGACAGCCUCAACACUUCCCUCUCAAGGAUACAACAGCAGAAGUCAACAAGAGUUCAUGCAUAAUGUAUAUAUUUGCCUCUGUUGGUUCUUGCCUCUUUAUAUUACCUGUCUGCAAAGGGUAUAACAACAUGUUAUAAAAUGUCACACUUCUGCACUGAAGUUUCC
rnacentral:lncRNA from 1 species